rnacentral:rRNA from 1 species
UAGGGAAUCUUCCACAAUGGACGAAAGUCUGAUGGAGCAACGCCGCGUGAGUGAAGAAGGUUUUCGGAUCGUAAAGCUCUGAUGUUGGUGAAGAAGGAUAGAGGCAGUAACUGGUCUUUAUUUGACGGUAAUCAACCAGAAGUCACGGCUAACUACGUGCCAG